UUGACCCACACAGAGCUUAUCCAUUGUUUCUUAUACAGAGAAUAACUGGAAUUCUUUCUGUCCAGCUCACCGCCUACCCCACGGCAGCUCUCUGCCCCAACUCCAGUGGGGCUGGCCACACCAGUCAGGAAAACAGAGAUCCCUGCUGCAUCAAAGGCCAACCCAGCUACCAGAUGUCCAACCCCCAACUUGGACAGAGACUCGCUGCUGGAUCAGAGGUCAAAGGAGUCACCACCAGAAAUCCAGGCCACAAAGACCAGAAGACCAAAGAAGAAACAGAAACCAAGUAACAAAACACCCAUUCAAUAAAGAUAAACUCAUAAAUCAA